rnacentral:rRNA from 1 species
UAGGGAAUCUUCGGCAAUGGGGGCAACCCUGACCGAGCAACGCCGCGUGAGUGAAGAAGGUUUUCGGAUCGUAAAGCUCUGUUGUAAGAGAAGAACGUGUGUGAGAGUGGAAAGUUCACACAGUGACGGUAACUUACCAGAAAGGGACGGCUAACUACGUGCCAGCAGCCGCGGUAAUACGUAGGUUCCGAGCGUUGUCCGGAUUUAUUGGGCGUAAAGCGAGCGCAGGCGGUUUAAUAAGUCUGAAGUUAAAGGCAGUGGCUUAACCAUUGGUGGCUUUGGAAACUGUUAAACUUGAGUGCAGAAGGGGAGAGUGGAAUUCCAUGUGUAGCGGAGAAAUGCGUAGAUAUAUGGAGGAACACCGGUGGCGAAAGCGGCUCUCUGGUCUGUAACUGACGCUGAGGCUCGAAAGCGUGGGGAGCAAACAGG